CUGGCUGUACCUUCGUACAGUGCCCUCUCUUCUUCAAAAGCCCGGCCCAGAUAUCUGCACGAGAUCAGAGAAGGGCUGGAGCUGCCUGACCCACCAGGCCUGGGUCGCUGCAGAGGGACGCGAAGGUCGCAGUCACCGCCGUACCGGAUUAACGCAGCUGGGGCGUUCUGCUGCUGCUGACCGUGGCCGUUGUCAUGAACCGCAGAGGGGGAGGUUGUAACAAAUCCUGAGUACAAAACGUGGAGCAGCCUGCUCACAGGGAGACAGCAUUUCUCGCCCCUUCUGAUGGGAAGACUGAAGUGUGGAGUGCUGACAGCAAAUGAGUCCCUUAGUGCUGUAGCCAAGAAGAGAGACCAGACCUCCAGAGUCACGUCUGUGCUUCCACCUUGACAGACAGUGAUGGGACUGCAGCAUGGAUUGAAACAUGCAAAGUGACACAGCACCAUACGCAGUAAUCUAAGAGCGUAAAGGCACCUGCCCUCUUCCUUGCUAUGGGGAGCAGCUCACUUGCACUGCAUAAAGAGGUCCAAGCUAGAAGCCUGGUUGCUCUAUGGGUAUCGUCUGUAGGGACUGGACAGAGAAAGAGGCCCCUCGAGGGACAGUAGAGCCCACUGGUGAGUUGUAUCAUCUUUUGCGAAUGCCUGUCACUCUGGCUCGGCGAUAGAGGACUCUAUUGCGGCAAUGACCAUGAAGAUAACUGUGUUCAGUGUAUAGUGUGGGAUGCUUCUGGCCCUCAAUUCCUCUCCUGAACGACUAUAGAGAAAGGUAGGAAAUAGUGACUGAUUCGUCUUCCUGCUGAACUUUUGGCUUUUAUAUUUUCAAAGAUAUUUUUGCAGGUAAAAGCAAAAGUUUAAUGGAAAUUUACUUUAAAGGAAUAAUACUGUAACUCUACUUCUUGCUAGAAAGCAUUGAAUAAAACAAACGUUUUAUUCAGCAGAAUAACAGUGAAAAAAUUAGCAACCUUUUCUAUAUUUUUUCUCAUAGAAAACAUGCUUCCUUUCUCUUUAUCACUUAUGAAGCAUUUUAACUCAUUGUGUUAAUGAUUUUG